rnacentral:rRNA from 1 species
UACGAAGGGGGCUAGCGUUGCUCGGAAUCACUGGGCGUAAAGGGUGCGUAGGCGGGUCUUUAAGUCAGGGGUGAAAUCCUGGAGCUCAACUCCAGAACUGCCUUUGAUACUGAAGAUCUCGAGUCCGGAAGAGGUUGGUGGAACUGCGAGUGUAGAGGUGAAAUUCGUAGAUAUUCGCAAGAACACCAGUGGCGAAGGCGGCCAACUGGUCCGGUACUGACGCUGAGGUGCGAAAAGCGUGGGGAGCAAACAGGG